UUUUUCGGAGAGUUUGAUCCUGGCUCAGGACGAACGCUGGCGGCGUGCCUAAUACAUGCAAGUCGAGCGGACAGAAGGGAGCUUGCUCCCGGAUGUUAGCGGCGGACGGGUGAGUAACACGUGGGUAACCUGCCUGUAAGACUGGGAUAACUCCGGGAAACCGGAGCUAAUACCGGAUAGUUCCUUGAACCGCAUGGUUCAAGGAUGAAAGACGGUUUCGGCUGUCACUUACAGAU
rnacentral:rRNA from 1 species